AGAAGUUUGAAGCCUUCUGAGGUGGUGUGGUGUUACUCUGUGUAGCAUGGCUGGCUCAACUGUGGCAUAUGCUGAGACACAAAGAGGUUAGUCUGGCUUCCAGCAGAGGCAGAAGUGAAUAACAAGCCAAUCAACAUGCAAAAUAUUGAACAGAGCAGCUCAGCACAGAGCCAUCAGCCAAACGUGAGAUUAGCGUGUGGCUGCAGACAGGACGAAUUGACUGGAAAGUUUCCAUGGGAGGAGAGAGGCCUCAGGGGAGCAGGACCUGUGGAAUUGUGUUGUGUGGGGAGCUGAAUCCCCCACCCUGAGAUGCUGCUGGCAUUUUAUUUGUUGUUAAGUAACACAAUAAUCUGUUGCAGAGAGUACAAAAUGAGAACUCUGUAUCAGAGUGUAGAUGCCAGACAUGCAUUAAUAAAAGAAUGAAUGAAAUUAAUAA